AAGUUGUACGAAAAACCCCUCGCCUUUCCUCCGACAAACCACGCGUCCCACCGCGCCUGCUCUGUCGCCUCGACACGCGCCGGCCGCCGCCUUCUCCGUCGCCUCGCCGCCUGCUCCGUCCCCUCGCCGCCUGCUCCGUCGCCUCGCCACGCGCCGACCGCCUUCUCCCCCUCGUCUCGCCUCUUCUCUUCGCCUGCACCAGGCAAGCGGGAAAGGAUCCCCUUUUCUGCAAAGCCCGCGACUUGGCGCUCAUGUCCCCGUGAAUUGCUCCAACCACAUGCCACUGCUCCGUGCUCGUCUAGCCGCUGCCAUACGUACGAGCUGCCUUCUUCGCUCCACCGGCUUCUCGUGGUCGCCGCCACCGCUGCUUCUGCUGCUUGUCUCCGUCUCCUGCAUGCUCGACAAGUGAUUGGAGGAGUUAGUGCCAAGGACUGGACCGGAUGCGCCUUGAUACAUGAUGUGCAGCGCCCUUGAUCUCAGGAGUCGCAGCAGGGGCAUGGGUGGGGAAGGAGCAGCAGUGACUUCCCAAACCCCGCACCAGAGUGGGUGGCCACGGCGGGGGCCAGGAAGCGGCGGCGGAGAUGAUCAAUGCGAUGAGGAGGAGCCGCCCGUCGAAGCGGUCGCCAUGGAGGAGCAAAAACGGCAGAUGGGCGGUGGCAGAGCUCGCCUCCAUGCGAGCAGCGCAUGUGGGCAGGGGCGACGCAGAUUGGCAGCGGACCAGCAGAGGCGCAGCAGCGACACAGGUAGGCGGCGGCGCGCUAGGCCCUGCGACGGCUGCCGCUGAUGGCUGCGCCUGGUUCCUGCCGCGGGCGACGAGGGAAGGGAGGAAGAAGAUGGGGGUAAGUAGCAAGCGAUUUAGAAUCAUAAGGGCUUUUUUGUAAAGUUGCGAAUGAACUAAGCCAGAGACAACUUUUCCCAGACGGAGGGAGUACUAAUUUCGCUAGUUGGAAGCAUAAGAUGAAAAUGCAUAUUCUUGGACAUAA